rnacentral:lncRNA from 1 species
AUGAAAAAUUCAUAUAAAGUUUGGUGUUUUCAAGUCAAAGAGAUUAGAGUGGGUUUGGAGAGCUUUAGUUUGGAAAAAAAGUAAGAACUUUAUGCAACAAGAGAUUACCAAAUGAAGAAAAAACAGACAUAAAAAUUUACUAAAACGCUCAGAUCUGUUAUGAAAGGGAAACAUGUGAGAAGACUCUGUCAGAAGACUUCCAGGAAAUCUUCUUGGAAGUCUUCUAACACAUUAUAUAUUAGAAGACUUUGAAAGAAAGACUUCCAAGAAGACUUCCCAUAAGUCUUCCAAAGUCUGCUCCAGAAAAACAUGUAUAUCAAACCCAGAUCUGAAAAACAUGCAUAUCAAAAAAUGUUCAAAUGACUAAAAAAACAGAAAAAAUGAGUGGAAUAUUAGAUAGAUCUACCUCUAUAGAACACACAAAAAUACAUAUCUAAAAUUAAUAGAUCUACCUUUAAAUGAGUGGAAGAUAAGAACCAUGCGAUGAAAAACCUGUAAAACAAGAUAAACUAGAGAGAAAGACAUGAGACAAAAAAACAAUAAAUUGAUAGAAAGUUUAGUGUUUAUAAGUUCAAAGAGAUUAGAGAGAAGUUGGAGAGUUUAAGAAUGAGGAACAUAACAUUUUUUGUUUCAACCAUUUGAGAGGAGGAGAGAGAAUGUAUAAAUAUUUCUUUAUAUAUGGAGACAAAAAUUCCAAUAGGUUUAAAUAUUUUCGAUUCAGAAGACUUUCAAGUAAGUCUUCUAAUAGAAGAAUUCCUAGACUAAUUACUUGUAAGUCGCCCAGAAGCAGUGUUUUGAAACCUGACCCGGACCCGCGGUUGAACUGGUAAACGCGGAGACCGAGAAAAAUCCGGUUUGAGUUUUGCAAAAAACCCAAUCUUUAGAAACCCACAAAAACCCACUAAAACCCAGAACCCGAUACCGGUUGAACCAAUAAAUAACUUUUACUUCUUUUUUUAAUUUUUAGAUUAUGUUUAAUAUUCUAAGUUUCCAAUAAAUAAGUUAGGUGCUGACAAAAAAAAAGAAGGUUUUUUUUCCCUUUGCAGUUAUAUAUUUAUGAUUUUUUUUUAUUUUGAUGAAGAUUUCACUAUGCCACCGAAGAAAAUAAAGUGAACGAUGGUAGAGAGAA